CAAUAGCGUAUAUUAAAGUUGUUGCAGUUAAAAAGCUCGUAGUUGGAUUUCUGGUGGGAGCGAUCGGUCUGGCGCUUAGCGCGAGUACUUGCAUCGUCUCCGGCCAUCCUUGGGGAAAGUCUGUCUGGCAUUAAGUUGUCGGGCAGAGGAUCCUCAUCGUUUACUGUGAAAAAAUUAGAGUGUUCAAAGCAGGCUUAUGCCGCUGAAUAUAUUAGCAUGGAAUAAUAAGAUAGGACUUUGGUACUAUUUUGUUGGUUUGCGCACCAAAGUAAUGAUUAAUAGGGACAGUUGGGGGUAUUCGUAUUCCGUUGUCAGAGGUGAAAUUCUUGGAUUUACGGAAGACGAACUACUGCGAAAGCAUUUACCAAGGAUGUUUUCAUUAA
rnacentral:rRNA from 1 species